GAUGAACGCUGGCGGCGUGCCUAAUACAUGCAAGUCGAGCGAACAGACGAGGAGCUUGCUCCUCUGACGUUAGCGGCGGACGGGUGAGUAACACGUGGAUAACCUCCCUAUAAGACUGGGAUAACUUCGGGAAACCGGCGCUAAUACCGGAUAAUAUAUUGAACCGCAUGGUUCAAUAGUGAAAGACGGUUUUGCUGGCACUUAUAGAUGGAUCCGCGCCGCAUUAGCUGGUUGGUGAGGUAACGGCUUACCAAGGCAACGAUGCGUAGGCGACCUGAGAGGGUGAUCGGCCACACGGGAACUGAGACACGGUCCAGACUCCUACGGGAGGCAGCAGUAGGGAAUCUUCCGCAGUGGGCGAAAGCCUGACGGAGCAACGCCGCGUGAGUGAUGAAGGUCUUCGGAUCGUAAAACUCUGUUAUUAGGGAAGAACAAAUGUGUAAGUAACUAUGCACGUCUUGACGGUACCUAAUCAGAAAGCCACGGCUAACUACGUG
rnacentral:rRNA from 1 species